ensembl:misc_RNA
GAGCUGUCUGUCUUUUCCAUCUAGGCUGCAGGAGACUGAGCUGAGUAGGUCAGGAAUAUGUUUUACAGGCAUUACACAGGCCAGUCUUCAGAGGCCAGUGUACAUGGUGAGUCCAGACAUCCUCAAACACACUCUGCACAUGUCACGCUGGCGGACAGAGCAGCGUGUGUGCCGUUUGGAUAUUUCCUCUUGGAAUGUUGGUUACCUAGCAACAAGAU